rnacentral:lncRNA from 1 species
AUUUGUUAAUAUUCAGUACUUUAAUUGAUGUAUUCCACCUGUCAACAUUUGGACAAGUCUAUUUCUCUGGAUGAUGCAUCUUACGGACUGAUACAAAUAAAGGGAAACGAACUUAUUUUUGUAAUAGGUUUUCAACACAGGUUUCGUUCCGCAAAAUUAUUUGCGCAAAAGACAUUUCAAGGUCAGUUAUAAUUGAUUUGUCUAUUUUUAGAAACAUAAAUUGGAAGUUUUAUUUUUCACAACAGAAAGUGUUAUCAACUUUGUUAAUGAUUAAUGCAUUUUAUUUUAUAAAAAAAGAAAUUUUAAUUAUUUUUCAGGGAUACUGCAUUGAUAAGGGUCGGCGGGAAUAAAAAAGCAUGAAAAGUCAAUUUUAUUUUUAUUCUGAAAAUCGGCAAAAUCGGGUCGGCGGAUCCGUAAACCAACAAAUAAAAAAACCGUGGCCCUAUGAAU